GAUGAACGCUCGCUACAGGCUUAACACAUGCAAGUCGAGGGGAAACGGCAUUGAGUGCUUGCACUCUUUGGACGUCGACCGGCGCACGGGUGAGUAACGCGUAUCCAACCUUCCCAUUACUGUGGGAUAACCUGCCGAAAGGCAGACUAAUACCGCAUAGUCUUCGAUGACGGCAUCAGAUUUGAAGUAAAGAUUUAUCGGUAAUGGAUGGGGAUGCGUCUGAUUAGCUUGUUGGCGGGGUAACGGCCCACCAAGGCGACGAUCAGUAGGGGUUCUGAGAGGAAGGUCCCCCACAUUGGAACUGAGACACGGUCCAAACUCCUACGGGAGGCAGCAGUGAGGAAUAUUGGUCAAUGGACGGAAGUCUGAACCAGCCAAGUAGCGUGCAGGAUGACGGCCCUAUGGGUUGUAAACUGCUUUUGUAUGGGGAUAAAGUUAGGGACGUGUCCCUAUUUGCAGGUACCAUACGAAUAAGGACCGGCUAAGUCCGUG
rnacentral:rRNA from 1 species